GGUGAUGUCGACAUAGUGGUUUGAGUGUUGGACUGUGACUCUGGAAACCAGGGUUCGAUUCCCAGCUCAACCA